AGUGAACGCUGGCGGUAGGCCUAACACAUGCAAGUCGAACGGCAGCACAGUAAGAGCUUGCUCUUACGGGUGGCGAGUGGCGGACGGGUGAGGAAUACAUCGGAAUCUACUUUUUCGUGGGGGAUAACGUAGGGAAACUUACGCUAAUACCUCAUACGACCUACGGGUGAAAGCAGGGGAUCUUCGGACCUUGCGCGAUUGAAUGAGCCGAUGUCGGAUUAGCUAGUUGGCGGGGUAAAGUCCCACCAAGGCGACGAUCCGUAGCUGGUCUGAGAGGAUGAUCAGCCACACUGGAACUGAGACACGGUCCAGACUCCUACGGGAGGCAGCAGUGGGGAAUAUUGGACAAUGGGCGCAAGCCUGAUCCAGCCAUACCGCGUGAGUGAAGAAGGCCUUCGGGUUGUAAAGCCCUUUUGUUGGGAAAGAAAAGCAGCAGGUUAAUACCCCGCUGUUCUGACGGUACCCAAAGAAUAAGCACCGGCUAACUUCGAG
rnacentral:rRNA from 1 species